rnacentral:lncRNA from 1 species
GCACUGGAACAACACAGAUGAGAUAUUCUACACAUUAAUCUACUUAUCUGGAAUCACUUUGCCUCUAAAGGCCAGAGAAAAAUCACAGCUUCCUUGUCGGAGGGGAAAAGGACAGGUGAUCUGGGGAAAACGCAGCUACACCUGGAGCAAGGUCUCUUCCCGGCUUGGCAAUCUCAGCUGUGCCGGCGCUACGGGACCCGAGCCGUCCCAGAAACCAAAGGGCAGGCACGGCAGCAAACGCCUGAGUGCUGCUGCCUUCGGUGACUAUAUGAGAAUGGAAACUUCUAAGGAAGCCAGGUUGUUAGAAUUGUUACCCCCUUUACUCAGAGAUAACAUAGAUUAUCCAGGCUGAGAUGGAAAACAAGCCCUUUAUUGAAUUUUCAACACAGACUCCCUGCUUCUCAUCUCCUUAAUAAAAUUUCAUUAAAAUCCCCUUGAACUCCCAUGUUCAAAUCUCCAUUUGUUGACAGACAAAGCCAACAAUACUCUAAACUGAGGCCUGCAAGUCAUUUCAUUUGUAUUUUUGUCCAGAAAUUUCCCAUAGGAAGACUUCACCUCCUACAACUCCGAAGAAAACCCUUACUGUCCAAGACCGUCACCAGCAACCAUCCGCAGUCAUUCAAGUGGAAGCUUUCACAGCUUUUGUACAUUCUCUGUGUCAAUAUACAACUGAGUUACAGACUGUCCCCUGGCUCCCUGACCCUUACAAACACUAAAAGUUUUGUUUGACUCAACUUCAAGCUGCUCAUCUGUUAGUAAGUGAUGUUCACUCCAGAACACAUUCAUGAUGAGAACUUUCUAAAAGACCAGCACUGCUCUUCCCCUCCUAUAAUCAUAAUAAUCAUGAUAACCUGAAACAUGUUACUGGGACUCGACAUUUUUCUGGGGAUUGAAAUCUUUAGUCCUUGGAGCUGUCACAUAGCAGGGGCAACCUCACACUGAAACAAAGGAAGUGAUGUCCCAUUAUUAUCCACCCUGAGCCACCAUAAUAUGCUGUUUACAUUUAUUUUCUUCAGCCUGUGCAAAACAAAGCAAUGGAAAAGGAAACUAAAAAAUAUACAUACUAGUACCAUUAUCUUCUUUUGCCUAAAAUUACUAAUGCACCACGUCAGUCUGCUUCCUUCAGGCAUCAUUCUCAAUUCAUCAGGACUUGUAUUAGCAGGUUCUGGCUAGAGAGACUAUCUCCUGUCAUCACGAUCAAUUAAUGUUUUCUGGUGAUCACAUCAGGCCCUAUCUAAGAAGCUCAUGGUAUACAAGGGUCACCCAAAUAGCUGAGUGCAGUCCUUGCUCAUAUUUCCUUCAUCUUAACCCCGCAAACAAGAAUUAAGAUGAUCCCAAUAAAAGAAAAAUUGCUCAGGAAACUGAACCUUUUUCUGAACCAAGCACUGUCAGCAAAUCUCAGGUAUUAGAGCAACUAUGGUUGAUUGAAAAGUGUCUCAAAAUCUGGGCCAAGAAUGAUUGCUAGGUCCAUAAGCUAAUUUGUCUGGCCUUGCCAUUUACGUAAGCCAAAGAAAGUCACUCAUGAGUAAACUAUAGAAAACGUUCAGACCCAUCCUGUUAGUAUGUCAAAUCAACUAAGACUGGCAGGGUAUUAACUCCAUUCCAGGUGACAUGGAUAAAGAGCCCCAUUAUUUUCACAGUGCCAGCCUCUACCUAAGGAAACCCUAGACCUUGGAACCAGUUUCCUGGUAGGGAACUGCUGACAGUUUCAAUGCUGACAGUUGGAGCCAAUGCCUCAUAGUGUAAACUGAAAGAAAAAUAGUUGCUUUUUAAAAUGUCAGCAAGAAGGCCUGCCUCAUCUUAACAAAGCAAAAAAAAAUGCUUUAAUUCAAAUUAAAAAUCAUGAUACUAGAGAUGGGAGUCUGUGGUCACUAUAAAGAUAAAGUUCAUGUUCUUGGUUCAGAUAACAAAACACUUUAUCUGGAUAAAUGGACCUCAAAAUUUGCUCUUGGCACAUGGGGGAAAUUUUUUGUUGUAUUUUGUUGUUGUUGUUGUUCUUGUUGUUAUUGUUUAAAUUAAUCUUCCUAAGGCCAUGAAUAUGAAAUCAUAUUAAUAAUGCAUGUGACAAAAUUCUAAAAUAUAUUACACUUAAAAUUAGCAUAAA